GGAGAGGUCGCAUAGUGGCUUAGUGCGCUCGCUUGGAAAGCGGGUAGACCUUCACGGGUCUCGGGGGUUCGAAUCCCCCUCUCUCCGCCA
rnacentral:tRNA from 1 species